rnacentral:rRNA from 1 species
UGCAGUCGAGCGAGGUCCAUCCGGUGGCAACACCGGGGAAGACCUAGCGGCGAACGGGUGAGUAACACGUGAGCAACCUGCCCCGAAGACUGGGAUAACACCGGGAAACCGGUGCUAAUACCGGAUGCCCUCCUCUGGUCGCAUGGCCUAGGGAGGAAAGGACUGCAUUUAAUAGAUGCAGCUUGCUUCGGGAGGGGCUCGCGGGCUAUCAGCUUGUUGGUGGGGUAACGGCUCACCAAGGCGACGACGGCUAGCUGGUCUGAGAGGACGACCAGCCACACUGGGACUGAGACACGGCCCAGACUCCUACGGGAGGCAGCAGCGGGGAAUCUUGCGCAAUGGGCGAAAGCCUGACGCAGCAACGCCGCGUGGGGGAUGAAGGCCCUCGGGUUGUAAACCCCUUUCAGCAGGGACGAAUCUGACGGUACCUGCAGAAGAAGCCCCGGCCAACUACGUGCCAGCAGCCGCGGUAAUACGUAGGGGGCGAGCGUUGUCCGGAUUUAUUGGGCGUAAAGAGCUCGUAGGCGGCUUGGCAAGUCGGGUGUGAAAACUCCAGGCUCAACCUGGAGACGCCACUCGAUACUGCCAUGGCUAGAGUCCGGUAGGGGACCACGGAAUUCCUGGUGUAGCGGUGAAAUGCGCAGAUAUCAGGAGGAACACCGGUGGCGAAGGCGGUGGUCUGGGCCGGCACUGACGCUGAGGAGCGAAAGCGUGGGUAGCAAACAGGAUUAGAUACCCUGGUAGUCCACGCCGUAAACGUUGGGCACUANGUGUGGGACCUUAUCAACGGGUUCCGUGCCGUAGCUAACGCAUUAAGUGCCCCGCCUGGGGAGUACGNCGCAAGGCUAAAACUCAAANGAAUUGACGG